UGUGCAUGGAUAUACACCAUAGAUAUGGUCC
rnacentral:piRNA from 1 species